GAUGAACGCUGGCGGCGUGCCUAAUACAUGCAAGUCGAGCGAACGGACGAGAAGCUUGCUUCUCUGAUGUUAGCGGCGGACGGGUGAGUAACACGUGGAUAACCUACCUAUAAGACUGGGAUAACUUCGGGAAACCGGAGCUAAUACCGGAUAAUAUUUUGAACCGCAUGGUUCAGAAGUAAAAGACGGUCUUGCUGUCACUUAUAGAUGGAUCCGCGCUGCAUUAGCUAGUUGGUAAGGUAACGGCUUACCAAGGCAACGAUGCAUAGCCGACCUGAGAGGGUGAUCGGCCACACUGGAACUGAGACACGGUCCAGACUCCUACGGGAGGCAGCAGUAGGGAAUCUUCCGCAAUGGGCGAAAGCCUGACGGAGCAACGCCGCGUGAGUGAUGAAGGUCUUCGGAUCGUAAAACUCUGUUAUUAGGGAAGAACAUAUGUGUAAGUAACUGUGCACAUCUUGACGGUACCUAAUCAGAAAGCCACGGCUAACUACGUG
rnacentral:rRNA from 1 species